GACGAACGCUGGCGGCGUGCUUAACACAUGCAAGUCGAACGGAAAGGCCUGCUUUCCCUUGCGGUGUGCGGGUACUCGAGUGGCGAACGGGUGAGUAACACGUGAGUGUUCUGCCCCCAACUUGGGUAUAAGCCCGGGAAACUGGGUCUAAUUCUCGUUAGGACCGCAUGGUGGUGCCUGUGGUGGAAAACGAUCUUCUAGUGGUUGGGGAUGAGCCCGAGGCCUAUCAGCUUGUUGGUGGGGCAAAUGCCUACCAAGGCGGAGACGGGUAGUCGGAGUGAGAGGGUGGACGGUCGCACUGAGACUGGGACACGGCGCAGACUCGUACGAGAAGCAGGAGUGGGGAAGAUAGGAGAGUGAGCGGAAGGGUGAAGCAGCGAGGCAGCGUGGGGGAUGACGGGCUUGGGGUUGUAUGCUCCUUUCGACCGCGAGAAAGCCACGUGGUUGGGAGGGUGGUGACGGUAGUGGUAGAAGAAGCACCGGCUAACUACGUG
rnacentral:rRNA from 1 species